GACGAACGCUGGCGGCGCGCCUAACACAUGCAAGUCGAACGAGAGAUGAGGAGCUUGCUCUUCAAAUCGAGUGGCGAACGGGUGAGUAACGCGUGAGGAACCUGCCUCAAAGAGGGGGACAACAGUUGGAAACGACUGCUAAUACCGCAUAAGCCCACAGCUCGGCAUUGAGCAGAGGGAAAAGGAGUGAUCCGCUUUGAGAUGGCCUCGCGUCCGAUUAGCUGGUUGGUGAGGUAACGGCCUACCAAGGCGACGAUCAGUAGCCGACCUGAGAGGGUGAUCGGCCACAUUGGAACUGAGACACGGUCCAAACUCCUACGGGAGGCAGCAGUGGGGAAUAUUGCACAAUGGGCGAAAGCCUGAUGCAGCAACGCCGCGUGAGCGAAGAAGGUCUUCGGAUCGUAAAGCUCUGUCCUUGGGGAAGAUAAUGACGGUACCCUUGGAGGAAGCCCCCGGCUAACUACGUG
rnacentral:rRNA from 1 species